rnacentral:rRNA from 1 species
AGUGAACGCUGGCGGCGUGCCUAAUACAUGCGAGUCGAGCGAACAGAUAAGGAGCUUGCUCCUUUGACGUUAGCGGCGGACGGGUGAGUAACACGUGGGUAACCUACCUAUAAGACUGGAAUAACUCCGGGAAACCGGGGCUAAUGCCGGAUAACAUAUAGAACCGCAUGGUUCUAUAGUGAAAGAUGGUUUUGCUAUCACUUAUAGAUGGACCCGCGCCGUAUUAGCUAGUUGGUAAGGUAAUGGCUUACCAAGGCGACGAUGCGUAGCCGACCUGAGAGGGUGAUAGGCCACACUGGGACUGAGACACGGUCCAGACUCCUACGGGAGGCAGCAGUAGGGAAUCUUCCGCAAUGGGCGAAAGCCUGACGGAGCAACGCCGCGUGAGUGAUGAAGGGUUUCGGCUCGUAAAACUCUGUUAUUAGGGAAGAACAUAUGUGUAAGUAACUGUGCACAUCUUGACGGUACCUAAUCAGAAAGCCACGACUAACUACGUGCCAGCAGCCGCCGCGGUAA